rnacentral:rRNA from 1 species
CGGACGUAGUACCUACACAUACAACGCCAGGGUACUACGAGCUUCAGCUUAAAACCCAAAGGACUUGACGGUGAACCCAUCCAACUAGAGGAGCCUGUUCUACAAUCGAUACUCCACGAUAUACCUAACCAUUUCUUGCUACUCAGCCCGUAUACCUCCGUCGUAAGCUUACCGUAUGAACGCACAACAGUAAGCCCAAGGGUUUAAUACCAUAACGUCAGGUCAAGGUGCAGCUCAUGAAAUGGAAGCAAUGGGCUACAAUUUCUAAUUUAGAACAAACGAAACACUGCAUGAAACACAGUCAUGAAGGAGGAUUUAGCAGUAAAUAGGGAAUAGAGAGCCCUAUUAAACUCGGCCCUGGGACAUGUACAAACCGCCCGUCACCCUCUU